CACGCUUUCUGAAUAAGAAGCGAAACCUAAUCUCGAAAGUCGGCGAGCCGAAGGAAGCGCCACGUGUCGGCUAGAAAGGUCUGUAAUCGAUCACCAAUCGAAGGGCCGAACAAACUUCCAUGUUGGAAGACACGGCCGCCGAUCGCGAAAAGAAGGAAGAACGGCCGUCUUGAAGACAGAACGUGUCUGACCGUCUUGGCACAAGUGUGGAUCGGAUAUUGCGUUAUUUUGCGGAGUGAUUAUUCCCGGACAGGAUGCGAACGCGGAACCACGUGUGUGAUGGAGUAAAUUUGUCUUUCUUGGCUUCUUCUUGGGGCUUUGCUGGGUGUGAGUAAGUAAAUUAUGUAAAUUGUAUUUGUAAUUUCCUGUGAAUCUGAUAGGUUAAUUAAACAUGCCAUUUCGCGGAACUCUUUCUAAUUUUCGAUUAAAUUCAAUAGUUUGCAUUUCUCUUUGAUUCCCUGGUGGUUUACGAACUUUAUAUUACGACAUUUACUUUCUUCUUUUUUAGUUUUUUUUUUUGUUAUGUUUGUUAUUCAAACUGAGCUCAAAAGUCAAUUUUCUUACACUCUCACUCAAAUUUGGUCUGGUUGGCUAGUCGGAUCAA